GCGGCUAGUCAAUGUUCCGCGCGUCGCUCCUGUGGGAGGCGACGGCGUCGCGGCGUCUCCGCCCUCGCACCACGGUGGACGCUGUGCGGGCCCCGAAGGGAAAGGUGGCUACGCGGCGCAUUAGGUGAGCCUAUGCCUCAUUCUUUUCCAAUUCGUGUUCAUCAGUGCUUAUUUUGGAUUAAAAGCAGCCCUGGUUGCAGAAUGAGUGUACUUUCGAAUUGGGGAUAAAAAUUAGGGUUCUUGAUGUGGGGAUUCUACUGUUUGUAUACUGUUUAGACCUCUGCCUUCUAAUUUGCUUAGUGCGUAUGGAAACAGAACUUAAGCAUGGUCAAUUUUAAUCAACUUAACAUGAAGGUGAGCAUGAGAUAUUAACUGAGAUUAAUUAAAAUUGAUGAACAUAGGUGGCAGUAAUGAUCCAUAGCAAAAUUAGGGUAUCACAUAAUUAUUUGCACACGACAAUUGGCAUGAACAUCAAACAAUAGCAUGAGCAUGGGGCUAAAACUUUCAAUCUUGAUCAUAAAACCCUAAACCUGACUUGAUCUAAACUUCAUGUUGAUCUACAGAUCAAUGAUAUAGGGACCUAUUGCAAUCAAAAUUGGCGAUUGAUACCAUUGUUGGAGUAAUUAUGCAUCUCUGAGAUACUAUUAGUAGGAACUGAUUGCAUCUAGAUCACCUAAAAAGCAUGAACAGAGAAGGUUUAGGGAAUCUUUACAUGUCACGGUAGUGGACAUGAUCGCCUGCUCGAUGCAGGCAUGAUGCAGGGGUGAUGUAGUCGAGGUAGCAGUCCUCCUCAACGUCCUGAUGCCCUCAGGACGCCACCGGCACUGCCCGGGGACAGCAGCGGCGGCUGGAGUAGGUCUUCCCGUCGCUGCAGCGCUCCCCCCGAUCGGAUGGGGUGAGAGAAUAUCGGGAGGGGAGUGAAACCGUACGAAAAUUGUGAUUGCGCAGGCUCCCAACCCUCUCCCGUACCCGCUUUUAUGUAGCGCUGGCGACAGGGGACCUAAACCAUCAGUUGGUUUGGGUGCCCCCGAUCAAGGCGCCUUAGUUGGGAGAAAAAGCCCAUGUAUGUUGGUGCGUGGGGCCUUUUUCUUUAACGUUAUCUUUCCCUUUUUUUCCUGUUAUAUUACUAGAUCUAACUGGCAUUUUAAGCCGUCAGAUCAAAACCAACAAUAACAACUUGCUAUAGCUAGCAACUGGCUACAUUAUUAACCAUGCUUUUACUCCAACGUGGUUCACCAAACUAUCCUCAAAUGUCCAGACAGUUUUCAUCAUUCAACAUGGGGCACCAAGUUUGUUCAGACAUCCGAAAUCCCACAAAUCAAAAUCAAACCGGAAAGCUUUGCUAGUGUACGGACAUAGGCGACGUACGCAUCCGACUGUGCAUUCCCACCUAGAACCCUUGUUGCUCGUUCCUCCCCCGAACCCUUCACCCGCAUUCAUGUCAUUCCGAGCAGACAUGACCAAACAGCCGCUUACCACCUUCAUGUCGCUCAGACUGACAUGACCAAACAGCCGCCGGGUGGAGAGAGUCGAGCAGCUGCGCAAGGAGCACACAACGACAACUGACGAGGGCUGCCGUGGCCACUGGGACGCCUUCAGCCGCUGGAAUGACGAUGACAACGUCGAAGUGGACAAUGAUGGAGGUGCCGACAGAGGUCAUGCCUACGUGUCACAAUCGGUAGUUUGCUAAGUUCUUAGAUUUUGUUAAAUUUCGUCCUUAUGGAUGUAAAUAUAUCAAAAUUUAACAAAUAUCCUUCAUUUAAAAUUAAAUUCACCCGCUUUUUGAAUAAUCAUUUGAAAUAAGAUGGACAUAUGAUGCACCAUGUAAAAUGGUCGCCUCUCUUACCGCUGUUCCCGGACACGUCUGUUUGAUGAACCUCGUUGGAGUUGGCCUUAGAUUAAGAAAGCUUAUUAAAUACUUCAUCUGUUCACAAAUAUAACAUGUUUUAAAUAUUUCAAUAUGAACUACAUGCGGACUGAAAAUGAGUGAACAACACUUACAUAUAUAUACACCUGACUUAAAAAGUUAGAAUAUCUUAGUAUAAUAGCGAAUGGAGGGAACACCUUAGUACAACAAUGUUGUUAUCCUUUCUGAGGGCGUUGUUGUGGAGUUUAAGUGUUUUAGGAUGUGUCGUGACAUUGUACUAAGAUUUUUCUAUGCUCUAUUUUUGGAUAGUCAUGUCAUGCGUAAUAUGGUUGUCCUGAGAUCAGCGUUGUUUGAGGGUUAUCUCAUCAUCUUGUAUCGUUGAGAUGUAGGUUGUUGCUUUAUAUACAGUGAAUGGAGGGAGCACUAGAGUACACGCUCCUCCCAGAGAUAAUACACAUGAAAACAGAAUCCUGUUCCGCAGUGCAAUUAUUCCGUCAGGAUGAACCGCGCAACAGGCAGUGGGACCACGCGAGAAGAUCUGUCCAGGAGCUCACUUUUGUUCAUUUCUGCACAACAAUUCAGGACCUCACUUAAGAUUGAUCUGGUGCUGGGCGUGGAUGAUCUGAGGCAUGCAUAUUGAUGUAUGCACUCACUCUAGAUUGUACAUGCAUUUCCAUAUUUCAACAAGUCCACGCGAUUCGCUUUUAUUUGGAGGAAAAGGCCAUCGUGGCGGCUUAUAUUUCAUGUGAGAACACCAUUUGUGGAACAUACUAUUUUACCUGAAAAGGAG
rnacentral:lncRNA from 1 species